rnacentral:tRNA from 1 species
GUGGGCGUAGCUCAGUUGGUUAGAGCGCCAGGUUGUGGUCCUGGAAGUCGUGGGUUCGAUUCCCAUCGUCCACCCCA